UAAUACGAAGGUCCCGAGCGUUAUCCGGAUUUAUUGGGUUUAAAGGGUGCGUAGGCGGGUUAUUAAGUCAGUGGUGAAAGCCUUCAGCUUAACUGAAGAAUUGCCAUUGAUACUGAUGAUCUUGAGUAUGAUUGAGGUGGGCGGAAUGUGUCAUGUAGCGGUGAAAUGCUUAGAUAUGACACAGAACACCGAUUGCGAAGGCAGCUCACUAAGUCAUAACUGACGCUGAUGCACGAAAGCGUGGGGAGCAAACAGGAUUAGAUACCCUGGUAGUCCACGCCCUAAACGAUGAUCACUCGAUGUGUGCGAUACACUGUACGCGUCUGAGCGAAAGCAUUAAGUGAUCCACCUGGGGAGUACGACCGCAAGGUUG
rnacentral:rRNA from 1 species